rnacentral:rRNA from 1 species
GGGCGACGGUUGUCCCGGUUUAAGCGUGUAGGUGUGUGUUCCAGGUAAAUCCGGUUCACUUUAACACUGAGGCGUGACGACGAGGCACUACGGUGCUGAAGCAACAAAUGCCCUGCUUCCAGGAAAAGCCUCUAAGCAUCAGGUAACAUCAAAUCGUACCCCAAACCGACACAGGUGGUCAGGUAGAGAAUACCAAGGCGCUUGAGAGAACUCGGGUGAAGGAACUAGGCAAAAUGGUGCCGUAACUUCGGGAGAAGGCACGCUGACACGUAGGUGAAGUGAUUUACUCAUGGAGCUGAAGUCAGUCGAAGAUACCAGCUGGCUGCAACUGUUUAUUAAAAACACAGCACUGUGCAAACACGAAAGUGGACGUAUACGGUGUGACGCCUGCCCGGUGCCGGAAGGUUAAUUGAUGGGGUCAGCGCAAG